rnacentral:rRNA from 1 species
AUUGAACGCUGGCGGCAGGCCUAACACAUGCAAGUCGAGCGGAUGAAGGGAGCUUGCUCCUGGACUCAGCGGCGGACGGGUGAGUAAUGCCUAGGAAUCUGCCUGGUAGUGGGGGAUAACGUCCGGAAACGGGCGCUAAUACCGCAUACGUCCUGAGGGAGAAAGUGGGGGAUCUUCGGACCUCACGCUAUCAGAUGAGCCUAGGUCGGAUUAGCUAGUUGGUGGGGUAAAGGCCUACCAAGGCGACGAUCCGUAACUGGUCUGAGAGGAUGAUCAGUCACACUGGAACUGAGACACGGUCCAGACUCCUACGGGAGGCAGCAGUGGGGAAUAUUGGACAAAGGGCGAAAGCCUGAUCCAGCCAUGCCGCGUGUGUGAAGAAGGUCUUCGGAUUGUAAAGCACUUUAAGUUGGGAGGAAGGGCAGUAAGUUAAUACCUUGCUGUUUUGACGUUACCAACAGAAUAAGCACCGGCUAACUUCGUG